rnacentral:tRNA from 1 species
GCCUGGGUGGCUCAGUCGGUUAAGCACCUGACUUUGGCUCAGGUCAUUAUCUCACAAUUUGUGGGUUUGAGCCCUGUGUCAGGCU